AUCGCUUCUCGGCCUUUUGGCUAGGAUCAAGUGUAGUAUCUGUUCUUAUCAGUUUAAUAUCUGACUUUCAAUAGUGCUUUAUAGAAUAUAUUAGAAUAUAUUUACAGCUAACCUUUU
rnacentral:snRNA from 1 species